CACCUUUCAAUGCAGCGUCUUCGAUUCCUGAAGCAACCAAGCACGACAACAAUUCAAAAGGAAAAGAGAAUUUGUGUAGUAGGUGGGUGGAAAGGGAUUCUUCAUCUUGUAAGUAUACGUAGACAAGGCGUCGAUUUCGUUGGAGUGUCCCAAGCACACAUAAUGAGUCGCACAAUUACUUAUGAUAUGUUGAUGUCGUAGUUAGCAAAGAUUGUAGGAUUUUAGCUAGAAAGAAAUGCAAACAAAGAAAAGUGGAAAUGGAUAAGUAUAUAGCAAAAAUGAUUAUGAUUCUUUUUUCAAUUCGUUAUGCAGGUACGGCCAGGCGUGUAAAUAAGAGUUGUAGACGACGAUAGGCA
rnacentral:lncRNA from 1 species